GUGGGCGUGGUCUAGUGGUUAUGACGUCCGCCUCACACGCUAAAGAUCCCGCGUUCGAUGCGCGGCGCCCGUA
rnacentral:tRNA from 1 species